rnacentral:rRNA from 1 species
AUUGAACGCUGGCGGCAGGCCUAACACAUGCAAGUCGAGCGGCAGCACAGUGCUUGCUCGUUGUUUCAGCGGCCGACGGGCGAGUAAUGCCUAAGUACAUCGGUGGCUGCUUUGUCUAGCGUGCGAACGCAGGCACUCUUACCCCAAUAGUCCUGAGGACCUACGUGUGGAAUCAUCGGACCUCAGGCUAUUGGAUGAGUCGAUGUCGCAUUAGCUAGUUGGCGGGGUAAAGGCGUACCAAGGCGACGAUCCGUAGCUGGUCUGAGAGGAUGAUCAGUCACACUGGAACUGAGACACGGUCCAGACUCCUACGGGAGGCAGCAGUGGGGAAUAUUGGACAAUGGGCGAAAGCCUGAUCCAGCCAUGCCGCGUGUGUGAAGAAGGUCUUCGGAUUGUAAAGCACUUUAAGUUGGGAGGAAGAGCAGUAAGUUAAUACCUUGCUGUUCUGACGUUACCAACAGAAUAAGCACCGGCUAACUUCGUG